rnacentral:lncRNA from 1 species
AAAUCUGAUUGGUUAUACAAUUACGCUCUUGUUUACAUGCUGUAACCGUAAUUCUGUUUUUUCUGUUUAAAAUGGUUCAGAUUAGAAAAUUAAGGAAAAGUUUAAAAUUUUGAGCUUUGAGCUUUCCUGUAAUCAGUGCGGUACGGUGUGAGCGUAACACUGAGCAUUUUUGAAAACUUGAGAUGUGUUUGAAGCGAAUAUCAAAUUUUCUUUCAUAAUCUGUUGUUGAAUGUGCACUGUAAUCAACAGUAGUAAAUCGAGAAAGUCACAUGUUCUAAGAUUUCACAUAAUUACCCUUCAAUCUCAUCUGAAACUGUUUGUGAGGCUCAAUAAUGGAUGCGUUCACAGAGAGGAUGGUGGAGCGAGCUCAAAAGCGUAAAGAGCGAUUGAAUACUCAUCUGAAGCAUCCUAAAGACAAUCUUUCAAAAGAAUCACUAGAUCUGAAGGAAAACAAAAAUUUGCACGUCUCAGAUUUGGCAAGUGACAGAAUGAAAGAAAUACUGCAGAACGGUAGCAUAAGUGUUUCUUUGGACAAAACAGAGAAUACGGGUUUUGUCUUCAAAGCAAAUUCUGAACAAAACUCAGCUUCCUCUGCUGUAGGAGUGUCAUCCAUCAACCAUUUGCCCAAUUCAAAAAAAACUUUGCAUCCGCAAAAAAUGAAACCAAUGGAACCUUUAAAUUCCUUCAAAGAGGCGUCUAUGAAGUGUAGAUUUUUAUCAGAAAUAGGAACCACAAGUGGGGUACCAAACUCACCUAAGAAAUCCAUCUCUAUAGAUCCUUGUGAGUUGAGCAUUGCUGACAGGAAAGCCCUUUUUGAGCGAAACAAAGGACAAGCACCAUUACCCAAAGCUCCCCACAGUCAAGCCUUACCAGCUCAAAAGAAGGAAAAUGGUAAGCCGCCAAUCGACCUCCCUGCAAAGCCCCCUCCGAUCCAUGUUGAAAAUAAGCUGAUUGAUCGCAAUAUACCAGCCCAAGAAAACAAAAUGCACGGCCCAUCGCACCUGCCACCAUCACCUCCGCCAAAGCCUGAUCACUUAAGAGCUUUCUUAGAAAAGAUUGAAGCAGAUACAAAAAUUAAAAAAGCAGAUAUUUCCACCUCCAAUUUGGAACUCAAAGAUCAAGAUACAUCGUACGAGUCUGUUGCAUCCAGUGAAAGCAGCCUUGGUCAGAAGAUUGUUAGAUUAGCACAAAAGAGAGGCAAGGAAAUUGAAGAGUCUAAGAGACAAAUCAGCCUUAAUACGCUGUCAGCAAGUGAAUGCGACUUUGACUCCAAUGAUCCAACUUCAGAUAAGUUAGCUCUCAACAAUGGUUCAUCUGGUCCAACUCCUCCGAAACAGUUUCGUGAAUCGUCUGGAUCCUCACAUGAUAUGUGCUUUGAUGAUAAUUCAGCGCUCAAUACUAACCCCUCUCAGAAAACAGGAGAUGGAAAUGGAAAUGGUGAUGGAAUCAACUGUGAGCAACCUCUCACCCAUACUGUCAGUUUUUAUCGCAAAACAAAACAUGAAAAUGAAGUGAGUGCAUUAUAUUUUAACUGCUCCAUGCCCAAAUUUCGCAUUCAAAUUAAAUUUCCAUUGAAUGUGAAGUAAUCUUCAGAGAAGAGAACGAAAGCAACGUUGCAAUGUUUGAUAAAACACUUGAAAAAUGAAAUGAAAGAAAUUCAAAUAGCUCCUCAAAAUAGUGUAUCUCUCACAUAGGAGAAAAAACGCUUAGAAAUGGCCCAAACUUUAUGUAACGAGGUGGAGA